UUAACAAAAACAUCUUUUCUUGUUAGUUUUUGAAGUAUGGCCUGCCCACUGACUUAUUUGUUGAAGGGCCGCGGUAUUUUGACCGUGCAAAGGUAGCAUAAUCAUUAGUUCUUUAAUUGUGAUCUGGAAUGAAUGGCUUGACGAGGUAUAAGCUGUCUUAAUGGAAUUUUUGAUUGAAUUUAGUUUUUGAGUUAAAAUUCUUAGAUGUUUUUAUGGGACGAGAAGACCCUAUAGAGUUUUACAUUUAUUUCUACAUUGUUUUAAUUUGUUUGUUGUUUAUUUUUUGGUUGAUUAAAAUGUUUUGUUGGGGUGAUGGGAGGAAUUUUUUUAACUCCUCUUUUUUUUGUAUACUUAUUUGUAUUUUUUUGAUCCAUUUGUUUUGAUUAUAAGAUUAAAUUACCUUAGGGAUAACAGCGUUAUCUUCCUUGAGAGUUCUUAUUGGCGGGGAGGUUUGCGACCUCGAUGUUGGAUUAAGGUGAAUUUUCGGUGCAGAAGCUGAAAUUGAUUAGGUCUGUUCGACCUUUAAAAUCUUACGUGAUCUGAGUUCAGAACCGGA
rnacentral:rRNA from 1 species